GGAGAACUGAGGGGGCUGCUCCUAGUACGAGAGGACCGGAGUGGACGCAUCACUGGUGUUCGGGUUGUCAUGCCAAUGGCACUGCCCGGUAGCUAAAUGCGGAAGAGAUAAGUGCUGAAAGCAUCUAAGCACGAAACUUGCCCCGAGAUGAGUUCUCCCUGAGACUUUAGGUCUCCUGAAGGAACGUUGAAGACGACGACGUUGAUAGGCCGGGUGUGUAAGCGCAGCGAUGCGUUGAGCUAACCGGUACUAAUGAACCGUGAGGCUUAACCUUAC
rnacentral:rRNA from 1 species